AACGAACGCUGGCGGCAUGCCUAACACAUGCAAGUCGAACGAGACCUUCGGGUCUAGUGGCGCACGGGUGCGUAACGCGUGGGAACCUGCCCUUAGGUUCGGAAUAACUCCCCGAAAGGGGUGCUAAUACCGGAUAAUGUCUUCGGACCAAAGAUUUAUCGCCUUUGGAUGGGCCCGCGUUGGAUUAGCUAGUUGGUAGGGUAAAAGCCUACCAAGGCGACGAUCCAUAGCUGGUCUGAGAGGAUGAUCAGCCACACUGGGACUGAGACACGGCCCAGACUCCUACGGGAGGCAGCAGUGGGGAAUAUUGGACAAUGGGCGAAAGCCUGAUCCAGCAAUGCCGCGUGAGUGAUGAAGGCCUUAGGGUUGUAAAGCUCUUUUACCCGGGAUGAUAAUGACAGUACCGGGAGAAUAAGCGCCGGCUAACGCCGUG
rnacentral:rRNA from 1 species